rnacentral:rRNA from 1 species
GGACCUCACUGCUAUCGGGGUGAGACUAAGCCAUGCAAGUCUAGGCCCAUAGCCAUCUGUGGGCCUGGCGUACGGCUCAGUAACACGUGGUCAACCUGCCCCGAGGAGGCGGAUAACCCCGGGAAACUGGGGUAUAAACCGCCAUAGGUGAGGGGUUCUGGAACGACCCUUCGCUGAAAGACGUGCGCGGGGAUGCCUGUGCACGUGCCUCGGGAUGGGGCUGCGGCCCAUCAGGUAGUUGAUGGGGUAACGGCCCACCAAGCCUAUAACGGGUACGGGCCCUGAGAGGGGGAGCCCGGAGAUGGACUCUGAGACAAGAGUCCAGGCCCUACGGGGCGCAGCAGGCGCGAAAACUCCGCAAUGCGCUCACGCGUGACGGGGUUACCCCGAGUGCCACCCUCGUGGUGGCUUUUGCGCGGUCUAAAAAGCCGCGCGAAUAAGCGGGGGGCAAGACGGGUGUCAGCCGCCGCGGUAAUACCCGCUCCGCGAGUGGUGAGGACUAUUACUGGGCUUAAAGCGUCCGUAGCCGGCCCGGCGUGCUCCGCGUUAAAUCCAGCAGCCUAACUGCUGGGCUGCGCGGAUGACUGCCGGGCUUGGGGGUGGGAGAGGGCGGCGGUAUUCCCGGGGUAGGGGUAAAAUCCACUGAUCCCGGGAGGACCACCAGUGGCGAAGCGCCGCCCAGACACGCCCGACGGUGAGGGACGAAAGCUGGGGGAG